CCUAGCACCAUUCCACGGAUGUAUCAUUCCGCUGCAAUACUACUACGUGAUGGGAGAGUUCUUGUUGGAGGUAGUAACCCUCACAUUCGUUACGAGUUCUCAAACGUGCUGUUCCCGACCGAGCUUGCCUUAGAAGCGUUCUCACCUAGUUACUUGGAGUCACAAUUCGCAAGCAUACGUCCGAGCAUCUUUUCACCUCUGUCACAAGUUACGGUUGGUUACGGCCAGAAGCUAGCCGUUCGAUUUUCGAUAACGGGGAAAAUAGCACUGAACUCUGUGUCCGUUACAAUGGUGUCACCUUCGUUCACUACACACUCGUUCUCGAUGAACCAGAGGCUACUGGUUCUUGCUUCCGAGAAUGUUAUAGCUGUGGGGAACUUGAAGUUUGAAGUUCAGGUUACGACGCCGGCUACCGGUAAUCUUGCACCGUCUGGAUAUUAUCUCUUAUACGUGGUUCACCAGCAGAUUCCAAGUGAGGGUAUUUGGGUCAAGAUUAAGUAAUAUGUUACUAGAAGAUAAGAGAUAUAGGUAUAUAUAGUCGUAUAGUUGCCUUCUCAAACUUAUUUUCAUCUUUUACAUUAUUUAUUCUUACAGUUUUUACAAAUUGUAUUAACUGUAUCAAAUAUUUGUAUGUUAAGUCGCUGAUCAGUAAUGUUAAGUCGCUGAUCGAGUAAACAACUACUGGAUCCUUCUAAAUUUGGUAAAUUCAAUCCAAAUAGCUCUCUCGAUGACUAGCUCUCUGCUAAGACUCUUCCCAUAAUCGAAAGUUAUAUUGGAAUUUUCAAAGUCCCAAGUCUUAAAUCCGUCAGGUUCGGUUGCUACUAUACACAUUUGUAUAGCAUACAUCAAGCCAUGAGCCGUCCGAUCAUUUAGCAAUUCAAAAUUCAAAACGAUUAGAUGGUUUACGGUUUGAUGUAUGUUAUACACAUAUGUAUAGUAGAAAAAACUAAAUCCGUCAUACCGCGCAACUAGCUAGGUAUUUCACAUACGAAAUUAUCUCGAUUGAAAAUUUUAACAAUCUCUUAUAUAUGAAUAGGUAAAGAAACUAUAUUAAAACUAAAGGGGGUGUAUUCAAUUCAGAUUUUAAAAGAUUCUGACAGAUUUUAAAUAAUCCAUGUAUUCUGUCGGGCAGAUUUUAAUGGAUUGAUUCAUUGGUUUUUCUUUGGAUUUUAUACGUCCAUAGACUGUUUAUUAAUACAAGUUGUGUUUAACAUCAUGUCAAACGCUAUACAGCAUGGUCAUGUUAAAAACCAAACCGGCAACAACAGAUGAUAUUCAUUAUUCAUUUAUAGAACUCUAUACAACAAUGAUCAUGUUGAAAACCAAACCAGCAACAACAGAUGAUAUUCAUUUACAGAACUCUAUACAGCAAUGAUCAUGUUGAAAACCAAACCAGCAAUAACAGAUGAUAUUUAUUUACAGAACGCUAUACAGCAACAGUCAGGUUGAAAACCAAACCAGCAAUAUAUAACAGAUGAUAUUUAUUUACAUAAGAUUUUUUUUCCCAACCAAACCAGAAAUAAAGAAAUCUUGCUGUGUUCCCUCUCCUAAAUCCAUUGCAACAUGGGAAACUUGAACACUUUCAGUUUGCAUACAGACUUUCAUGCACUUUGUAUCUUCUACCUCACCAAAGUCACUUGCCUCAACCAUAAAUGAGGUAUAAACCCUUCAAACCGUCACCCAUGCAAACAUCAAAAUGGCUAAUUAGAAAUGCCUUACACAUAAGCUUUAUGUGUCCCUCCCUCACCUCCUUCCCUACCCUACAAAGCCCAACCUCUCUCCACUCUACUCCUCACCAAAGUAGCUAGCUAGUAUGAGUAGUAUCCACUCUAAAAAGCAGCCAGGUCUAUAGCUCUCUCUUUUCUUGCUUAUUCUCUUUCAUGGCUGCUUAGCCUAUCGCCAACAAUCUCAGUCCAGCCAGCAUCUACAUGUAUAGAAAUUAAAAAUAAAUAUAAGAAAACAUGUCAAAGAAAAGUUAACAAUAUCAAUUUUACAAUGAUAAAAUUCAUGUUACAUGGCAUAAAAACAGUGAUUCUUCUUUUAUUGUUUGCAGCUGUGAUCAAAUCAAACCAUUUAAGUUUCAUUCUUCUAGAUACAAGAAGAAAUAGUGAAAUAAUCUGCUAGUAAGAGCAAAUUCACAGCAAGCUCUUGACUACACACCUAACUGACUGCUCAAAUAAUAAAUAGAAUGCAAAUAGUAAAGGACCAGCUCAUAUGCACUCGUGUGUACUAUUUCUAAGUUCAACCUGAACACUACUACAACAAAUGAAUUAGACAAAAAGAAACAAGUAAUAAGCAUCAAGUUUCUUAUGAUUACAGCAAAGGGCCUUUUAACUUGAUAAAAUCCAUCCAAAUUCUAGUGAGAGACUAUGAUAUAUGAUCAUUCAUGUAAACAAUUAUGCUCUGAGUCUUAUUAGAAUAUCUUGGUUAUCCAUGUUAACAAUCCCCUUUCAGGCAGAACACUUACAGUAUAGAAUCAAUUACAAACUAAACACUCAAGUGCACCAUUCACCUUCUUCACAUCCAAAAUAUUUGCAUAAAUCAAGAGUUCCUGAUGCUCUUAGCCCCUAGUCUAUAAUCCUAAUAAUGAUUGAACAUGGGAGCAGCUGUUAUAUCAGCUAUCAGCAGGCAUAUACUGAGUAAAACAUCAAUUAAUCCCAUUCAAAUCUGAUGUACACUUUAGCAUAUCAAGCAAUCAAACGAAACCCUUAUUCUGAUAUCCCACCAACGUACUGGAUUUCCAAGAAAUUUCAAGGUAGUGAUUAUUGGUAAAUCAAACAGGUUUAGUGCUUGACGAGCAAAACAGGAAACUACCCCCAAAUCCCUUUUUCCCCAAAUCAGGGUUUAUGAAUUCACCAAAAAUUUCUAUCCCCAAACCUAAAAGAUAAGACGACGAACACCAAAAAGAGAAGAGAAAGGCGAUUACCCAGAUGUUUGCAUGUGGUGAGGUCGUCAGUCAAGGUCAGUUCGUCGCCAGAACGAGAGAGAAGAGAAUACUUCAAAAUCUGAUGGUUAGAGAGCAGAUUCUUGUUAGGGUCUCCUAUUUAUACCAAACAGCUCAGAAUCCAUCAAAAUCUGUCAUCUGAUAGAAUCCUUGGAAGUCGUUGAGUUAUUGAAUACCGUCAGAGUUUGAAAGAGUUUUUAAAAUAGCAAUUGAAUACCAUAAGAUUUUAAAUGACUUUUUGAAAUCUUGAUUCAAUACUCAUAGACUUUUAAACUCCAAAACAAUCCAACAGACUCUUAAUUGAAUACACCACCCUAAGUAAUAUACAGACGCGUACGUUUUCGUGAAAUAUGAUACAGCUAGCAGUACUAGCUCUGUUUCGUCUGUUUUGAUUUAUUUGACCGGUGCCGGAAAGCGAGUUAUCAUGAUAUAUGAAGGCACUCAUUCAAGAAUCAAGUGUACUGUAAUUUCACAUAUACCUACCAGAAAAAAACGAAUCAAUAUUCAUCAUCAAUACUAGAACAAACAAAAAUAAAAACCGAUGACCGAUGGAAUAUUAAGCAUGCAGCUAGCUGAGGCUAGCUAGCAUUCCUACUCAGAAUUUAGAUUUUCCAUUUACAAACCCAGAACAAUUCAGCAGCUCAUUUUAUUUUCAAACAGAAACAAAACAACGGUCCGUCGUUUUCACCAACCAUGUCCCACACGUUUACAUAUAUGCAUGUGGGAAGCUCGAUCUUCUCUCUCUCUCUCUAAUCGUCUCCUCCAGAAAUCACAAGCUCGCUGGCUACUAUAUAAAGCAGACAAAUCUCAGACACUAACAGCAAAGCAGAACAGCAGAGCCAUUUAAACAGAUAGACCAAUAUCCUGAGACAAACAAAAACAGACCAAAACACCGAACUCGUAGAGAAUCAAAUCGAUGCCCCCUAUUAUGAAGAAGAAGAGCUCAACUCCUCUACCCCAUCUACUCAUUCUUUCAUUCCUAUUCAUAUCCACUUCUCUCUUCUCCCUCACCCACGCCGCCGGCGGCAAAUGGCAGCUGCUUCUCCCAAACGUCGGCAUUUCCGCCAUGCACAUGCAGCUCCUCAAAAACGACCGCGUCGUCAUGUUCGACCGCACCGACUUCGGAAAAUCCAACCUCUCCCUCCCCAACGGCGUCUGCCGCAACAACCCCAACGACACCGCCCUCAAAGUCGACUGCACGGCUCACUCCGCCGAGUACGACGUGGCGGGCAACAAAAUCCGUCCUCUCUUUGUGUACUCCGACGUGUGGUGCUCCUCCGGGUCGGUAAACCCCAGUGGAACUCUAGUCCAGACGGGUGGUUUCAACGACGGAGAGAAAAGGGUGAGGACUUAUGACCCGUGUGCUACCUGUGACUGGAAAGAGAUCGAAAACGCGCUGACCAACCGGAGAUGGUACGCCACCAAUCAUAUUCUCCCCGACGGACGGCAGAUAAUCAUCGGCGGACGGCGCCAGUUCAACUACGAGUUCUACCCCAAAAGUGAAGGAUCCAUGAACGCACAUAGUUUACCUUUUCUUGUUGAGACAAGUGACGGCACCGCCAUAGAGAACAAUCUCUACCCUUUUGUUUUUCUCAACGUUGAUGGCAACCUUUUCAUCUUCGCUAACAAUCGGGCCAUUUUGUUCGACUAUGCAGCAGGUAAAAUCGUCAAGACCUACCCUACUAUACCCGGUGGAGACCCACGGUCGUAUCCGAGCACCGGUUCCGCCGUGUUGCUACCUCUGAAAAGCUCAAAAGGUCAGGUUGUGGCAGCAGAGGUUUUAGUAUGCGGUGGAGCUCCCAAAGGCUCUUAUGUUAAUGCUGAAAGUGGGACAUUCGUGGAAGCAUUGAAGACAUGCGCACGGAUCAAAAUAACCGACCCGAACCCGCAGUGGGUUAUGGAAACCAUGCCUCUAGCUAGAGUCAUGGGUGACAUGACGUUACUUGCCAACGGUGACGUUUUAAUCAUCAACGGUGCCGGACAAGGUACCGCCGGGUGGGAGCUAGGUCGGAACCCGGUACUGAACCCGGUUGUUUACAAGUCCGAUAAUGCGGUCGGGUCACGAUUCGAGCAGCAAAACCCUAGCACCAUUCCACGGAUGUAUCAUUCCACUGCAAUACUACUACGUGAUGGGAGAGUUCUUGUUGGAGGUAGUAACCCUCAUAUUCGUUACGAGUUCUCAAACGUGAUGUUCCCGACCGAGCUUGCCUUAGAAGCAUUCUCACCUAGUUACUUGGAGUCACAAUUCGCAAGCAUACGUCCGAGCAUCUUUUCACCUCUGUCACAAGUUACGGUUGGUUACGGCCAGAAGCUAGCCGUUCGAUUUUCGAUAACGGGGAAAAUAGCACUGAACUCUGUGUCCGUUACAAUGGUGUCACCUUCGUUCACUACACACUCGUUCUCGAUGAACCAGAGGCUACUGGUUCUUGCUUCCGAGAAUGUUAUAGCUGUGGGGAACUUGAAGUUUGAAGUUCAGGUUACGACGCCGGCUACCGGCAAUCUUGCACCGUCUGGAUAUUAUCUCUUAUAUGUGGUUCACCAGCAGAUUCCAAGUGAGGGUAUUUGGGUCAAGAUUCAGUAAUAUGUUAUUAGAAGAUAAGAGAUAUAGGUAUAGUCGUAUAGUUGCUUUCUCAAACUUAUUUUCAUCUUUUACAUUAUUUAUUCUUACAGUUUUUACAAAUUGUAUCAACUGUAUCAAAUAUUUGUAUACAUACAGCACGUGAAUCUGAAUAAAGUUAGUAGCUAGGAUUCUUGUCAAUAAUUUCA
rnacentral:lncRNA from 1 species